GAAAUGCGAUAAGUAAAUAGGUGUAACCUUGACCUAGAAUUCAGUCGAAAGUCCAAUCGAAGGUCUUUGGAACGCACCUUGCGCUCCUUGGUAUUCCUCGGAGCAUGCCUGUUUGAGUAUCAUGAAAUCUUCAAAAUAAAUCUUUUGUUCACUCAAAUUGAUUUUAUUUUGGACUUGGAGGCUUGCAGAUUCACGUCUGCUCCUCUUAAAUUUAUUAGCUGGAUCUCGGUGAGCUCGGUUCCACUCGGCGUGAUAAGUAUCACUCGCCGAGGACACUGUAAAAGGUGGCCGGGAUUGCGGAUGAACCGCUUCUAAUAGUCCAUUGACUUGGACAAUAAAUACUUUAUGAUCUGAUCUCAAAUCAGGUAGGACUACCCGCUGAACUUAAGCAUAUCAAUAAGCGGAGGAAAAAGAAACUAACAAGGAUUCCCCUAGU
rnacentral:rRNA from 1 species